GCAGUGGUAGUUCAGUGGCAGAAUUCUCUCUUUUCAUGCAGGAGGCCUGGGUUCGAUUCCCAGCAAAUGCA
rnacentral:tRNA from 1 species